UGGUUCAGGCAUGCAAGUCGAACGGUCCCGCAAGGGACAGUGGCAGAAGGGUGAGUAACACGUGGGUAACCUACCCCCGAGUCGGAGAUAACCCCGCGAAAGCGGGGCUAAUACCCGAUGAUAUCCCAAUCUCAUAAGAGGAUGGGAUCAAAAGUGGCUCGUAAGAGCUGCUGCUUGAGGAGGGGCCCGCGGCCUAUCAGCUAGUUGGUGAGGUAACGGCCCACCAAGGCGAUUGACGGGUAGCUGGUCUAAGAGGACGGUCAGCCACAUUGGGACUGAGACACUGCCCAGACUCCUACGGGAGGCUGCAGUCGAGGAUCUUUAGCAAUGCCCGAAAGGGUGACUUGCGACGCCGCGUGCAGGAUGAAGGCCUUCGGGCCGCAGCUUC
rnacentral:rRNA from 1 species